AACGAACGCUGGCGGCAUGCCUAACACAUGCAAGUCGAACGAGACCUUCGGGUCUAGUGGCGCACGGGUGCGUAACGCGUGGGAACCUGCCCUUAGGUUCGGAAUAACUCCCCGAAAGGGGUGCUAAUACCGGAUAAUGUCUUCGGACCAAAGAUUUAUCGCCUUUGGAUGGGCCCGCGUUGGAUUAGCUAGUUGGUAGGGUAAAAGCCUACCAAGGCGACGAUCCAUAGCUGGUCUGAGAGGAUGAUCAGCCACACUGGGACUGAGACACGGCCCAGACUCCUACGGGAGGCAGCAGUGCGGAAUAUUGGACAAUGGGGGGAAGCCUGAUCCAGCAAUGCCGCGUGAGUGAUGAAGGCCUUAGGGUUGUAAAGCUCUUUUACCCGGGAUGAUAAUGACAGUACCGGGAGAAUAAGCUCCGGCUAACUCCGUG
rnacentral:rRNA from 1 species